rnacentral:rRNA from 1 species
AACGAACGCUGGCGGCAUGCCUAACACAUGCAAGUCGAACGAGACCUUCGGGUCUAGUGGCGCACGGGUGCGUAACGCGUGGGAACCUGCCCUUAGGUUCGGAAUAACUCCCCGAAAGGGGUGCUAAUACCGGCUAAUGUCUUCGGACCAAAGAUUUAUCGCCUUUGGAUGGGCCCGCGUUGGAUUAGCUAGUUGGUAGGGUAAAAGCCUACCAAGGCGACGAUCCAUAGCUGGUCUGAGAGGAUGAUCAGCCACACUGGGACUGAGACACGGCCCAGAAUCCUACGGGAGGCAGCAGUGGGGAAUAUUGGACAAUGGGCGAAAGCCUGAUCCAGCAAUGCCGCGUGAGUGAUGAAGGCCUUAGGGUUGUAAAGCUCUUUUACACGGGAUGAUAAUGACAGUACCGGGAGAAUAAGCUCCGGCUAACUCCGUG